GCUGCCAUCCGCGAGGUGGAGCUAAUCUCAAAAAGCCGGUCUCAGUUCGGAUUGGGGUCUGCAACUCGACUCCAUGAAGUCGGAAUCGCUAGUAAUCGCAGAUCAGCAUUGCUGGGGAAAUACUUUCCCGGGCUUUGACCACCCCCCCCGCACCGUCACGAAAGUGGUUUACCCCCAAGGGCGGUGGCCAACCCCCUUGAGGGAGGUAGCUGUCGAAGGUGUCACUGCUGGUUGGAACGAAUUCCUAACAAGGCAUCCGUAACGGAAGGGGUGGAUGAAUCCCU
rnacentral:rRNA from 1 species